UCAUAAAAGUUUCUAUUUUCUACUUCCACAGUGAAUGUCGUAUUUUACAUACUGUCACAUCCAUUUAGUUUGAAAAAUUAACAAGCCUAUUUUGAGAAUGUAUGGAGUAUAAAGUACAGAUAUUUAUGCAAAAAUGCAGGGAGUAAAAGUAAAAAGUUGGCAGAAAAA